GUCAUGAGGGGGGCCAGCUUGGACUACUGGGAGGUGCACUUCAAACUCUUCAGGACACUGCAGAAUGGAAGGGGUCAGAGAGAUGGGCCAUGAUGAUGGAUUUUGCAUGUCCUCAAACUGGAGGAGUCCAAUUAUAACUCAAGAUAACAGCUCAACUACUAGAGAGGAGAGUCUCUUUUGAGAAAUAUCCGUUACUGUAUGCUACGGGGAACAUGAAAAUCAACAGACUUUGUACCAGUGUUUGAAAAUGAAAUGAAAAAAGCAUGGUGUCUCUUGGAGACUUUCUGAAAACAAGGUUAGCUAAAUAUGUCCUUAAAGUAAAUUUGUCAGAUGCAAGAACUGUGUUGCAGAUGUUUUUGGCAUGAUGUUUUUUUUAAAUGUUUUAAAUGAGUUUAGACUGACUGAAUGGAACUAGUGGUUAUAUAUGUGUAAAUGGGUAUAUCACAGA